GACAGCAGCCAUGUCACUCUGCAAUUUACAUCUGGCAACCCACUGAAGCUAAGCAAGUGUGAGCCUGGUCAGUACCUGGAUAGGAGACCUCCUGGGAAAACUAAGGUUGCUGCUGGAA
rfam:Lepisosteus oculatus linkage group LG2, whole genome shotgun sequence.